UCAGUGACCAAGGGCGAGUGCAGC
rnacentral:miRNA from 1 species